rnacentral:rRNA from 1 species
GAGUUUGAUCCUGGCUCAGGAUGAACGCUGGCGGCGUGCUUAACACAUGCAAGUCGAACGAACCUUCGGGUUAGUGGCGGACGGGUGAGUAACGCGUGAGAAUCUGCCCUCAGGAGGGGGAUAACAGCUGGAAACGGCUGCUAAUACCCCAUAUGCCGCGAGGUGAAAUGAAUUUCGCCUGAGGAUGAGCUCGCGUCUGAUUAGCUAGUUGGUGUAGGUAAAGGCUCACCAAGGCAUCGAUCAGUAGCUGGUCUGAGAGGAUGAUCAGCCACACUGGGACUGAGACACGGCCCAGACUCCUACGGGAGGCAGCAGUGGGGAAUUUUCCGCAAUGGGCGAAAGCCUGACGGAGCAACGCCGCGUGAGGGAUGAAGGCCUCUGGGCUGUAAACCUCUUUUAUCAAGGAAGAAGAUCUGA